rnacentral:rRNA from 1 species
UGGGUGUGACUGCGUACCUUUUGUAUAAUGGGUCAGCGACUUAUAUUCUGUAGCAAGGUUAACCGUAUAGGGGAGCCGCAGGGAAACCGAGUCUUAACUGGGCGUUAAGUUGCAGGGUAUAGACCCGAAACCCGGUGAUCUAGCCAUGGGCAGGUUGAAGGUUGGGUAACACUAACUGGAGGACCGAACCGACUAAUGUUGAAAAAUUAGCGGAUGACUUGUGGCUGGGGGUGAAAGGCCAAUCAAACCGGGAGAUAGCUGGUUCUCCCCGAAAGCUAUUUAGGUAGCGCCUCGUGAAUUCAUCUUCGGGGGUAGAGCACUGUUUCGGCUAGGGGGUCAUCCCGACUUACCAACCCGAUGCAAACUGCGAAUACCGAAGAAUGUUAUCACGGGAGACACACGGCGGGUGCUAACGUCCGUCGUGAAGAGGGAAACAACCCAGACCGCCAGCUAAGGUCCCCAAGUCAUGGUUAAGUGGGAAACGAAGUGGGAAGGCUCAGACAGCCAGGAUGUUGGCUUAGAAGCAGCCAUCAUUUAAAGAAAGCGUAAUAGCUCACUGGUCGAGUCGGCCUGCGCGGAAGAUGUAACGGGGCUAAACCAUGCACCGAAGCUGCGGCAGCGACACUCAGGUGUUGUUGGGUAGGGGAGCGUUCUGUAAGCCGUUGAAGGUGGCCUGUGAGGGCUGCUGGAGGUAUCAGAAGUGCGAAUGCUGACAUAAGUAACGAUAAAGCGGGUGAAAAACCCGCUCGCCGGAAGACCAAGGGUUCCUGUCCAACGUUAAUCGGGGCAGGGUGAGUCGACCCCUAAGGCGAGGCCGAAAGGCGUAGUCGAUGGGAAACAGGUUAAUAUUCCUGUACUCGGUGUUACUGCGAAGGGGGGACGGAGAAGGCUAAACCAGCCGGGCGACGGUUUGUCCCGGUUUAAGCGUGUAGGUGGGCAGUUUUGGUAAAUCCGGACUGCUGGUAACACUGAGGCGUGAUGACGAGGCACUACGGUGCUGAAGUGGUUGAUGCCCUGCUUCCAGGAAAAGCCUCUAAGCCUCAGGUAACAUUGAAUCGUACCCCAAACCGACACAGGUGGUCAGGUAGAGAAUACUCAGGCGCUUGAGAGAACUCGGGUGAAGGAACUAGGCAAAAUGGUGCCGUAACUUCGGGAGAAGGCACGCUGGCGU